CGGUUGUGACCCCUCGCGUGUAACGCUGUUGCUAGCCUCUAGACCUUCGGACUGGACCCCUGGCUUUCUGAACUCUGCUUCCCUACCUGGACAACGCUCUCGGACACUGCUACUGGGUCUACUGACGCAAAGCUUAGUUUUGGACAGCUACUUGCUCCAGAUGGGGAUGUCCAUCCACAUCUUGAAAAGCAUCCAGCCAGUACAUUGAGAUUCAGAUCUAUGGCAGUUGGCAAUGCCAUGAGUUACUCAACGAUCCUACUUCAAAAUAUUGACUUGUUUCAUCUCAUGAUUUUCAGAUUUGAUGUCAUUAGGGUACUUACAGAUAAUUAGCCAAGUUGUGUUCCUGUAGAGUAUGUGUUUCAAAACCAUGGGGCACUGUGUCAAAGUAAUCAUUACCUAUCCCACAGAUAAAGCAUUUGGUCUAAAAAGAAUGAAAAAAAUAUAUACAUUGUUCAAAUAUUCAGUAAGAAAACUAUACUAAGUUCAAACUUGGGUUCACAAAAGGCCCUGCUUUAAGGUCUUAGAAGAGGUUGUGGUGACAGUUAACAUAGUGAAUCAAGUCCCAGAGGGAGAGAGAGAUACCCCACUCUUCAUUCCUCCCUCUCACUCACCAUUUGAGUAGCAGGGAGGUAAAAGGUAUGGACAUUAGCACAGUUAGAUGGUUGGAGUGCCUGAGUUUCCAACAGCAGCUGAUACUGCAGAGGCAAGUUGUUUCCAAGCCAUUUAUUUUUCUAUUACACAUGAACUAGUAUUUCACAAAAAUAUGAUAUGGAUUGUGACAGAAUUGCUGAUAUUUAUUACCUCCAUGUCUUCUUUAACUUGUUCUUGCUGAUCUCUUAAUUCUCCAAAUGCGUCAAUAAUUAAGCCUGGUAAUAAA